rnacentral:antisense_RNA from 1 species
AUUGGAAGAGCGGGAGGCAUUCAGCGAUGGAUGGCGCUCUGACAUGGACGGCAGCGAUGCCCGUCCCUUCUGAGUAGUGUGCUACGAUUUUGCCAGCAGAGUUAUUCUGCUGGUUUUUUUU